CACCCAAUUCUUUUGUUGAGUCUAAGUAGGCUUUGGGCCUGGUUGGAAGAGUGCUCAGUUUAGAUGACUAUUUGCAUUGCUUAGCCAUAUUGGUCUUUGUUGAAUUGCACAGGUUAAUUCUGGACACCAUAUUUGGGCCAGGGAAGGAAUAUUGCAGCAGAUUGGCUCGGCCUCAGGAAUGUGGGAAGGUUUUGAUUUCCACUCUGCACUGGCCCCUCAAGAACUUUGGGCACUGCAGUUCCUACAGGCUGGAAGCUGUCUUCCAGGUAUGUAAAUGUGUUCAGUGUCCCCCAAGUCAAUGUUGUUUUCUUGUGCAGCCAUUGCCUAACCAACUUAAAAUUCUCACACAUUGGCUA
rnacentral:lncRNA from 1 species